rnacentral:rRNA from 1 species
GGAAUUUUGCGCAAUGGGCGAAGGCCUGACGCAGCAACGCCGCGUGGGGGAAGAAGGCUCUCGGGUCGUAAACCUCUUUUGCCGGGGAAGAUAAUGACGGUACCCGGCGAAUAAGCCACGGCUAACUACGUGCCAGCAGCCGCGGUAAUACGUAGGUGGCAAGCGUUGUCCGGAUUUAUUGGGCGUACAGGGCGCGCAGGCGGUUCGUUUGGUCCGAGGUGAAAUCUCCUGGCUCAACUGGGAGAGGUCUUCGGAUACCGGCGGACUUGAGGAGAGCAGAGGUGAGUGGAAUUCUGGGUGUAGUGGUGAAAUGCGUAGAUAUCCAGAGGAACACCAGUGGCGAAGGCGACUCACUGGGCUCCACCUGACGCUGAGGCGCGAAAGCGUGGGGAGCGAAC